CAAAAACCUAUAUCCCGGACCACGAAGCUGGUGAGCCCCUUGACACCAGCGUCACCUCCCUGACAGGAAUCCCCAUCUUCUUGGACCAUGCCAGAUCGACUCCCUGUUGUCUAAGCAACAGGUUCCACAGUGGCUUCAUUUGAAGGCUCCACCUACAAUUUCAUGCUGUGCAAAAAGGAGUUGAUGGUGCACGUUAAAACCAACUGUUGUUUAAAGGCUAUUGGGGAUGAAAGAGUGAAGAACCCUGCCUUCUUGAAAGCUGCCCAAUGAAAAAAUGUGCAGAAAAGACCAUUAACUACAAGAAAGCACUUGCUGGGCUGCAUCAUUCCAUGAAAGCACGAUUCAAAAGCCACCUUCUCUGUGAAGCCUCCUUGGACUUCAGGCAGGGACUCAAAUUCUUCAGUCUUCUCAGAUGACAGCUUAACACUGCAUUGCUUCGAAUUUCAGUGACAUCAGCCCUGACAGAGCACCUAAUUUUAAGCCCAAGGAAUUACUUCUUCCUUUAAACUAAGAAGCUACUCUUUUUCUCUGAGGAAUGAAAAUUGAUGGCUCAAGAACCCUUAUCAGGGUAGUGAAAUUGAAGAUGCUUUUUUCACUCACAUAAGCAUGACUUUCUCUUUGGAAAAUUAUCACAGGCAUGCUUUGGUUUAGAAAAUGCUUUAUGGCUGCAUACAGAUGCUGUCUCCAGUAAAGCCACCACCCAUACUGACACAAGAUACAUUUUCUUGAAACUUUUUAGAGUUUGUUUCUUAAUUUCCUAAUUCACUCAUGUUUUUGGCUUUAUGGAAAAAAAAUCAAGAAAGCCCGGUUUGCCUUCUCAGCAUCAGCAAUAGUGAUCAUCAAUGAUCAUGUCAUUUGUAUUAGUGAAAAGAGAAUAAAACUAAUUAAUGAGACCUGGAUUCCAGUUAUGGCUCUACCAUUGAUAAACUUUGUGAUUUGGGACAAUUCCCUUAAUAUCUUUGAAUUCUCAGUCUCCUCAUCUGAAAAUAAAGAGGUUGGAAUAGAUGAUUUCUUAGGGUUUUGCUCAGUGCUAAAAUAUUACACGUAGAUCUUAAAAUGAUACAUAUUUUUCCUUCUGAGAUUUCAGUCAGUGAUGGAUGUAAUCACCAAAGUUUAAUCAAGGAAGCAGGAAGGCAUCUAUUGCUGUGAAAAGGGAAAUCUGUCUACAACAGGACAUACCAGUCAGCCAGCAUCUUCAUGAAGCAGCUUUGUCCUCCAGUUCCCACUGUCAAUGAGAUGGAGGCAUGCUUCUAGUGAGGCAUUUCCAAGCAGCACUCUAUACAGCUCUGCUACUUGGGAUACCCUGGGAAAUAAGGGUCUGUGGUCAAAUUUGUUUAGGGGAUUACUAUAUCCUCUUGCAGGUUCAGAAUGCAUAUAAGCAUGCUAAGGGCUCUGUAAAGUCCUGCAUUAAAAAUGCUUAUUGGACUUUGCUGAACCUAGCAUUUCUUCACCUUCAUUUGACCAUGGAACUAUUUCUUUUGACAUACCUGUUAUACCUAUCAACAUUUCAAGGAACUAGCACUCUUCAGAAUAGAAUAUUGGUACUGAUAUUCUAGUUGUUAUAGUGAAGAAUACAGAAACUUCAUAAGAUUUUUCUCUUUGGAAAGAGGUAGAGGGGAAUUAUAGGCUCUAUUAACUCAUUUAACGAAUACCUACCAAGAUAAGCCUUCUUGGUAGAUGUUUUCUGCAACUGUUUUCCUUACAAUCAUCAGCUAUGACACAGUGUCUGCCAUCUUUAGUAAGAGAAAGAGCAUCCAUUCACAAUGGUUAUGGUGUAGACUUGUUCAUUUACAUUAAGUAAUAGUUCCUUUGCUUUUACAUGUUCUUAUUGGUCUUUGGUGUGUAUUUUUUUUAAUGUCCUUUUAGAAACAGUUCAAACUGGUGUAAGACAAACCUACCACACGUACAUUAUGGGCAUUUACAGGGACAGCAUAGAAUAGUUUAUUGGUAAUUGUUGGAAGAUAAUUUUCCUUGGGUCUCUAGUGUUUUUGCAUAUCUUCUUGACUAAAACUUUCAAGGACAUUUGUAUAGUGAAGAUACUGUGUCACAGGCAUACUUACUGUCCAGUAUAAUAAAGAUGUUUCCCUCCAGAGCAAAGUGCAGGAAUAAUUAUAACCUAUUAUAAAAAUUUCAAAUUCCCUAAUCUCAGGGUUUCUCUCCUUCAAUGCAACCCAUUGCAUGUAUAGGUACUAUCUUGCCCAAUUUGGAUUUCUCUGUGGUUAUUGGGGCUCAGGGAACUAAGGCAAAACUGCUGAUA